GACGAACGCUGGCGGCGUGCCUAAUACAUGCAAGUUGAGCGCUGAAGGUUGGUACUUGUACCAACUGGAUGAGCAGCGAACGGGUGAGUAACGCGUGGGGAAUCUGCCUUUGAGCGGGGGACAACAUUUGGAAACGAAUGCUAAUACCGCAUAAAAACUUUAAACACAAGUUUUAAGUUUGAAAGAUGCAAUUGCAUCACUCAAAGAUGAUCCCGCGUUGUAUUAGCUAGUUGGUGAGGUAAAGGCUCACCAAGGCGAUGAUACAUAGCCUACCUGAGCGAGUGAUCGGCCACAUUGGGACGGAGACACCGCCCAUACUCCUACGAGACGCCGCAGUCGCGAAUCUUAGGCAACGGACGAAAGUAUUACAGAGUAACGCCACGCGAGUGAAGACGGUGUCCGGAUCGUAAUGAUCGGUUGCUAGAGAAGAACGGUGGUGAGAGGGGAAAGCUCAUCAAGUGACGGUAACUACCCAGAAAGGAACGGCUAACUACGUG
rnacentral:rRNA from 1 species